rnacentral:rRNA from 1 species
CGGGGUAGACCUCCCACCCUGUGUUAUUUACGCUUUGUUGCUUUGGCAGGCCGCCUUCGGGCUCCCGGCUUCGGCUGGGGCGUGCCUGCCAGAGGACCCAAACUCUGAAUGUUAAUGUCGUCUGAGUACUAUAUAAUAAGUUAAAACUUUCAACAACGGAUCUCUUGGUUCUGGCAUCGAUGAAGAACGCAGCGAAAUGCGAUAAGUAAUGUGAAUUGCAGAAUUCAGUGAAUCAUCGAAUCUUUGAACGCACAUUGCGCCCCUUGGUAUUCCGGGGGGCAUGCCUGUUCGAGCGUCAUUUCAACCCUCAAGCACUGCUUGGUCUUGGGCCCUGCCGGCAACGGCUGGCCUUAAAAUCAGUGGCGGCGCCCUCGAGCUCUACGCGUAGUAAUAAAACCCUCGCGUGUGAGUCUCGGCGGCUGCUGGCCAGCAACCCCCAAUUUUUUAUGGUUGACCUCGGAUCAGGUAGGGAUACCCGCUGAACCUAAGCAUAUCAAUAAGCGGAGGAAA